GGUGUCCAAUUUAACUUGGAGCCCGAACUCUCACUUUCUAACCCUGUGCAUCUGUUAUUGGUUAGUAGCUCUUCGGAGUGAACUCCAUUCACUUACAAACACAAAGUCUAUGAAUGUAUACAAAAUUAUAACAAAACAAAACUUUCAACAACGGAUCUCUUGGCUCUCGCAUCGAUGAAGAACGCAGCGAAAUGCGAUACGUAAUGUGAAUUGCAGAAUUCAGUGAAUCAUCGAAUCUUUGAACGCACCUUGCGCUCCUUGGUAUUCCGAGGAGCAUGCCUGUUUGAGUGUCAUGAAAUCUUCAACCCACCUCUUUCUUAGUGAAUCUGGUGGUGCUUGGUUUCUGAGCGCUGCUCUGCUUCGGCUUAGCUCGUUCGUAAUGCAUUAGCAUCCGCAACCGAACUUCGGAUUGACUUGGCGUAAUAGACUAUUCGCUGAGGAUUCUAGUCUCGUACUAGAGCCGGGUUGGGUUAAAGGAAGCUUCUAAUCCUAAAGUCUAUUUUUUGAUUAGAUCUCAAAUCAGGUAGGACUACCCGCUGAACUUAAGCAUAUCAAUAAGCGGAGG
rnacentral:rRNA from 1 species